GACGAACGCUGGCGGCGUGCUUAACACAUGCAAGUCGAACGGAAAGGCCCUGCUUGCCGGGUCCUCGAGUGGCGAACGGGUGAGUAACACGUGGGUGAUCUGCCCUGCACUUCGGGAUAAGCCUGGGAAACUGGGUCUAAUACCGGAUAGGAGCUAUUUUUAGUGUGAUGGUUGGAAAGUUUUUUCGGUCUAGGGUGAGCUCGCGGCGUAUCAGCUUGUUGGUGGGGUAAUGGCCUACCAAGGCGGCGGCGGGUAGCCGGCCUGGGUAGGUGGCCGGCGAUACUGAGACUGAGAGAAGGCACAGGCAGCGAAGGGAGGGAGAAGGGGGAAAGAUUGAACAAGGGGCGCAAGGCGGAUGCAGAGGGGCCGCGGGGGGGAUGACGGCGUUAGGGGUGUAAAAUACUUGCGUAAGGGACGAAGCAUUUUGUGACGGUACCUAGAUAAGAAGCACCGGCUAACUACGUG
rnacentral:rRNA from 1 species